GUGCCAGGAAGGCUGCGUGGCCUUGGCUCCUUGAACUUUUGGCCGCCAUGUGCUUCGCGAAGGUCCACUCUGCUGCAAUUAAAGAUCUGAGGGCCCGAAUGGUAAUGCUCCUCCCUACUUCUGCUCAGGGAUUGGGGGUCUGGGUCUCAGCCUGUGACACUGAGGGCACUAUGGGACACCGGGGACCCUGGAGGGACAAGGAUCAGGCCCUUUGGUGCCAACACUGCCUCUCUUCACAGCAUCAAGCCGUAGACAGAUAUUGUGAUGAAAUGGAAAAUGAAGAAUCAGGAUGUGGACAGGUGGGUGGAUUUGCCCUCAGGCACCAGGUCACAUGUCCCCACCCCCAGGCUCUCCACCCUGUGGGGGGCUCAGGGUAAGAAGGAUGAAGAGGGACCCACAGGCUCCCUCAUCCCUUACCCUGGGCAAAUGCUUGCACCUGGGUGGCAGUGAGUGGGCGGGUGGGGGAUCUGGACGCCCGGGGAGACUGAGGGAGGCGUUCAAGCCCCAGGGCUCCUUGAGGAAACAACAGGGGUGCCAGACGUGGCCCGGGCUCCUGGCUGGACCCAGUUCGGGG
rnacentral:sRNA from 1 species